rnacentral:rRNA from 1 species
UACAGAGGGUGCGAGCGUUGUUCGGAAUUACUGGGCGUAAAGGGCGCGCAGGCGGUCCUUCAAGUCAGAUGUGAAAGCCCCGGGCUCAACCUGGGAACUGCAUUUGAGACUGGAGGACUUGAGGACGGGAGAGGAGAGUGGAAUUCCCAGUGUAGAGGUGAAAUUCGUAGAUAUUGGGAAGAACACCGAUGGCGAAGGCAGCUCUCUGGACCGUUACUGACGCUGAGGCGCGAAAGCGUGGGGAGCAAACAGG